rnacentral:rRNA from 1 species
UACGGGGGGAGCAAGCGUUGUUCGGAUUUACUGGGCGUAAAGGGCGCGUAGGCGGCCACUGCAAGUCAGUUGUGAAAUCUCCGGGCUUAACCCGGAAAGGUCAACUGAUACUGCAGGCUAGAGUGCAGAAGGGCAACUGGAAUUCUCGGUGUAGCGGUGAAAUGCGUAGAUAUCGAGAGGAACACCUGCGGCGAAGGCGGGUGCUGGGCUGACACUGACGCUGAUGCGCGAAAGCCAGGGAGCGAACGGG